UACAGAGGGUGCAAGCGUUAAUCGGAUUUACUGGGCGUAAAGCGUGCGCAGGCGGCUUUGCAAGACAGAUGUGAAAUCCCCGGGCUCAACCUGGGAACUGCAUUUGUGACUGCAAGGCUAGAGUACGGCAGAGGGGGAUGGAAUUCCGCGUGUAGCAGUGAAAUGCGAAGAUAUGCGGAGGAACACCAAUGGCGAAGGCAAUCCCCUGGGCCUGUACUGACGCUCAUGCACGAAAGCGUGGGGAGCAAACAGG
rnacentral:rRNA from 1 species